AUUGAACGCUGGCGGCAUGCUUUACACAUGCAAGUCGGACGGCAGCACAGAGAAGCUUGCUUCUUGGGUGGCGAGUGGCGAAAGGGUGAGCAAUAUAUCGGAACGCACCGAGUAAUGGGGGAUAACUAAUCGAAAGAUCAGCUAAUACCGCAUAUUCUCUGAGGAGGAAAGCAGGGGAACUUCGGGCCUUGCGUGAAUCGAGCGGACGAUAUCUGAUUAGCUAGUUGGUGGGGUAAAGGCCUACCAAGGCGACGAUCAGUAGCGGGUCUGAGAGGAUGAUCCGCCACACUAGGACUGAGACACGGCCCAGACUCCUACGGGAGGCAGCAGUGGGGAAUUUUGGACAAUGGGCGCAAGCCUGUUCCAGCCAUGCCGCGUGUCUGAAGAACGCCUUCGGGUUGUAAAGGACUUUUGUCAGGGAAGAAAAGGCUGUUGCUAAUACCGACAGCUGAUGACGGUACCUGAAGAAUAAGCACCGGCUAACUACGUG
rnacentral:rRNA from 1 species